GAUUGGGGAUGAUUACUUUUUAAAAGCAUUGCUAUUCAGCCAUCUCGCUCCCGUCUGGCCCCAGCAGUGCUCUGAUAGGCACAAGGGUGGCUGACACACGGCGAUGCCCCCGGUCUGUGCUCCUUGGCGAGCCCGGGGAGGGCACGUGGUUGGCAUCCCACAGCCAGUCUGUCAAGGGAUGUGAUUGCAGGAGGGUGGUACCUGGUUCUGAUCUGACUUUCACGCUGAGACC